UGGGGAAUAUUGCACAAUGGGCGCAAGCCUGAUGCAGCCAUGCCGCGUGUGUGAAGAAGGCCUUCGGGUUGUAAAGCACUUUCAGUCAGGAGGAAAGGUUAGUAGUUAAUACCUGCUAGCUGUGACGUUACUGACAGAAGAAGCACCGGCUAACUCCGUGCCAGCAGCCGCGGUAAUACGGAGGGUGCGAGCGUUAAUCGGAAUUACUGGGCGUAAAGCGUACGCAGGCGGUUUGCUAAGCGAGAUGUGAAAGCCCCGGGCUCAACCUGGGAACUGCAUUUCGAACUGGCAAACUAGAGUGUGAUGGAGGGUGGUAGAAUUUCAGGUGUAGCGGUGAACUGCGUAGAGAUCUGAAGGAAUACCGAUGGCGAAGGCAGCCACCUGGGUCAACACUGACGCUCAUGUACGAAAGCGUGGGGGAGCAAACAGGAUUAGAUACC
rnacentral:rRNA from 1 species